rnacentral:misc_RNA from 1 species
AGCGCCACAAAUAAGUUCAUAGAGACAACGGAUGCGUGAUCAGAUGUGCUUAGCACUUGCAAUUUGGACAAAAGUAAGGCUAUAUAGGUAUCCAUUGUAUCCGCCUCUUCUCCUUAAUCACGAUAUUAAAUAACCAAAUAAUGAUAAUUAGGAUAUAAUAAGAAAUACGAAAGAUUAGAUUUCUAUCCAAAACCCAGAAUCCACAGAAUCUGUUUAUGUCUACGAACUAUCCAUUUCAAGAGGCAGAGUUUCUUCAACCGUGGGAUCUCUUCACAUUUUCAAGCGCAGCCAACAAAUAAAGCACGAAAGGAAAAUUGGAAAUUGAAUUAAAAUCAAAGUAGAAUCCAAAUCUCUAUCCCUAGCUCGAUUUGCACAAAUACAAUAAAGUGAGUUCAAACAGAGAGGGAGAAAGCAGAGAAAUAAAUCUCUGCUUCGAAUUUCUCUUGAACACGAAAAGAUAUCUGGAGCUCCGGCGACCAGAUAGAGAG